rnacentral:rRNA from 1 species
UCCGUAGGCGGGAAGAUAAGUCAGUGGUGAAAGCCUGUGGCUCAACCAUAGAAUUGCCAUUGAUACUGUCUUUCUUGAGUGCACAUGAUGUGGGCGGAAUGUGUCGUGUAGCGGUGAAAUGCUUAGAUAUGACACAGAACACCGAUUGCGAAGGCAGCUCACAAAAGUGUAACUGACACUGAGGUACGAAAGCGUGGGGAGCGAACAGGAUUAGAUACCCUGGUAGUCC